UGCAUUGGCCGGGAAUCGAACCCGGGCCGCCCGCGUGGCAGGCGAACAUCUACCACUGAACCACCGAUGG
rnacentral:tRNA from 1 species